AUUGAACGCUGGCGGCAGGCCUAACACAUGCAAGUCGAGCGGGGUUUUCGGACCUAGCGGCGGACGGGUGAGUAAUGCGUAGGAAGCUGCCCGAUAGAGGGGGAUACCAGUUGGAAACGACUGUUAAUACCGCAUAAUGUCUACGGACCAAAGUGUGGGACCUUCGGGCCACAUGCUAUCGGAUGCGCCUACGUGGGAUUAGCUUGUUGGUGAGGUAAUGGCUCACCAAGGCGACGAUCUCUAGCUGGUUUGAGAGGAUGAUCAGCCACACUGGAACUGAGACACGGUCCAGACUCCUACGGGAGGCAGCAGUGGGGAAUAUUGGACAAUGGGCGCAAGCCUGAUCCAGCCAUGCCGCGUGUGUGAAGAAGGCCUUCGGGUUGUAAAGCACUUUCAGCGAGGAGGAAGGGUGGUGUGUUAAUAGCACAUCAUUUUGACGUUACUCGCAGAAGAAGCACCGACUAACUCUGUGCCAGCCGCCGCGGUAAAAC
rnacentral:rRNA from 1 species